GGUUUCACCAUAAGGAAGGAUGGUUGACUGAAUGCCUGCUUAUUUCUUGCCUGCCACGGCUGCAUGAAGAGAGGCUCCUGUGUGUUUAUGGAGAAUCAUUAUGGGAGAGGUAGAAUAUAUACAGCUGUAACAGAAAACCUGAAAACCAAUGGCUUUAUACAUACUUCAUUCUGAACAAGCAGCCUGGUUAUGGUAUUCCUGGAGCUGGGCCAGUAAUUCCAUGUCACCAGGGCACUAACUUGGCAUCUCUGCUGCUCUCUCACCCUUCCCCCUGCAGUCCACAAGAUGGCUGGUGUGGCCCCAGGCAUCACAUCCACAUACAACUACGUCCAGAGGCAGGAGCUGGGAAUAGGCUUGUAGGUGUCUAGGACAGCAAGUGGGCUUUCUGCUUAAACCUAGAGGAAGGAAAAAUCACCUCCCAAGUCAAUUUUCCCUCCAUUUAAUUCAUCAGAGAGUAUUAUAAAUCCACCUAUUAAAUAAUCUGGACAAGGGGUGUGUGCUUAUUGUUCUUGGUUUAGACUGGUUAUGAUUCAUGCCCUGAAACUGGGCAUAUUGCCCAGCAAGUGAAAUUGAGAGUCCAUCAGCCAGGAAGAGGAGUAAGGAAGAUGAAUAUUAGGUAGGCAAGUGAUAGGGCUUGUCACAAGUUUUUAAGACGCUUUCAAUUAGUAAAUAACUGUCAAGAAUACCUUUUGUUUUCACCUGCCCAGUCUCCAUUGUGCCUCUUCCAGAAAUGCACACUGAGCUCUCUUUGGGUGUGAAGGGGACUCUGUGUCCAUCAUUCCAGUGUGAGCACAUGAUCUGAGCCAGGUCACUAAGGCUGAAUUUCAGGACUUCUGUGUGAACUCUUGGGAAAGACAAGUUCUCCCUAUCCUGGGGUGUUUGAAAGCCUGGAACUGCUGGGGGCUAUUUCACCUGCCUAGCUACCUGAAUGAAUGAAUGGGUGGAUGAAUUAAGCUGAUACAAAGGGAUGGUAGAGGGAUGAGUAGAGUAGAAGGGGGAUGAUGAGAAACUUGGUCCGAGUGAAAUUGCUUGAGACCUGGAUGCAGCUGUGACAGAUGAUUCAGUUCCAUGACAUAAUAAAUGUUUCGCUCAUCCCACGUCUUAUUAUUAUUUUAUUUUAUGUAAGUUAGCUUGAGUUGCAAAAGAUUACUGACAGGAAUCGGUACCUAGCAGUGGAAUGUUAAAAGUAAUAGACCCUAAAAUGUGGAUUGGCAAAUUGAAGGUAGAAUGGAAGGCAAUAGAGGUCUUCUAUCCCUGGCUAAGAAGUUGGCAGUCUUUGUUAUGCUCCAAUAAAGCAUAUUAAAUUAUUGCCGGUUCUCCCUUAGGACUCAUAGCAUGUACCAUUAGAGACUGGAUCAUUAAAGCACUUGAUAGAACUUUUCAGGCUGUGGAGUGUGUAGGCCACUUCCUGAAGUUCUUAGUGAAUUCCUAUGAGAAAAAGACAAGCGUCUGUCAUCUGAAAGUUAAAAAAGAAGAAAAAUGUGUCUUUGAUAAAAGAAGUCCUUUUUCUUUUGGUAGCUGAGUGCCAGACAACACCAUACUUUGCAAGGUUGGAAAAGGUGAGUUCUCUGUUACAUGAUGAAGUUCAUUCCAGCAAAGACAGAGACACUGGAAACAGAACAGAAGAACCAAUAUAAGUGGGAAGGAGCUGGAGCCUGAUUUUGACUUGUCCAAGACAGAAUUGCUCCUAUCUGGAUUAUACAAACAACUCCAGCAAAUAAAUCAGCAAAUAAGGAAGGGACAGUCAGUCCAACAGAACAGUGAGAGGAAGAGACUGACAGAGCAUUUCACAAAAGAGGAGAUCCAGAUGACAAUCAACAGGAAAAGUGCUCAACGUCACUUGUCAUCAGGGACGUGCCUAGAAACAAUGGGGAUAUCCCACCACGCAUUCUAGGGGAACAGCUAAAAUCUAAAACAACAACUGACCAUAUCAGUGUUAAUGAAUAUGUGGACCUACUGGAACCCUCAUACUCUGCUGAUGGGAGUAUAAAGAGGCCCACAUACUUUGGAAAACAGUGUGGCGUUAUCUAUUAAAGGCAAAUGUAUGCAUAUCUUACUACGAAGCCAUUCCACUCCUAGGUCUAUGUGUGCAUGUAUGUAUGAAAAAACAUAAAAAAAUAUGCUGGCUGGGCA